rnacentral:sRNA from 1 species
GUUCUUCUUGGGGUUGUUAGGAUUUUUCGGAAUCUUCUUUUUGUAGGAUUUUUGCAUGGGUCUUGUUUGAGUGAAGUUUCUGUUUUGGCCAUUUAAUUGCUUAUCGUGGUGUUGUGUUUGUCAUUUAAUAUCCUGGAAAAUCUCUCCUUUAUGAUGAGACGGACUCGAUUCUUUUUGCCCUUAGCUUUGGGCUCAUGUUCUAUGUUUGAGGUUAUCGACUUCUCGGGUUGGUUUGACAUGUUUAAUACUAUCGACUACAAAAAGAUAGGCUAUUUCCAAUGGACGAAAUCGUCGGAAUAACGAUGGAAACAGCCGUAUUCGACGAAUUUUCGACGACAUAGAUUGGUCGAUUCUAUCUCGUCGGAAAUCUGAAUGUCGUCGCAAACGUGUUACAAAUUACCGACGGGUUUCCGACGAGGUAUUUUCCGACAAUUUCUAUACGC